AUUGAACGCUGGCGGCAGGCCUAACACAUGCAAGUCGAGCGAGCGGCGGAUGGGUGAGUAAUGUCUGGGUAUCUGCCCGAUGGAGGGGUAUAACUCCUCGAACCGGUGGCCAAUACCGCCUACUAUCGGAUGAACCCAUUUGGGAUGAGCUAGUAGGUGGUGUAAAGGCUCACCUAGGCGACGAUCUCUAGCUGGUCUGAUAGGAUGAUCAGCCACACGGAGACUGAGACACGGCCCAGACUCCUAGGGUAGGCAGCAGUGGGGAAUAUUGCACAGUGGGCCCAAGCCUGCUGCAGCCAUGCCGCGUGUAUGAAGAAGGGCUUAGGGUUGUAAAGUACUUUCAGUGGGGAGGCGUUACCCGCAGAAGAAGCACCGGCUAACUCCGUGCCAGCAGCCGCGGUAAUUC
rnacentral:rRNA from 1 species